GAUCAUGGCUCAGAUUGAACGCUGGUGGCAGGCCUAACACAUGCAAGUCGAGCGGCAUCGAGUGAGCACAGUUUACUGAGUUCAUGUCGGCGAGCGGCGGACGGGUGAGUAAAGUCUGGGAAUCUGGCCGACGGAGGGGGAUAACUGCUGGAAACGGCAGCUAAUACCGCAUGAAGUCAUGAGACCAAAGUGGGGGGACCUUCGGGCCUCACGCCGUCGGAUGAGCCCAG
rnacentral:rRNA from 1 species